GAUGAACGCUGGCGGCGUGCCUAACACAUGCAAGUCGAACGGAGUCCAGCCUUUAAGACCUUCGGGUCAAAGAGGGGAAGACUGAGUGGCGGACGGGUGAGUAACACGUGGGCAACCUGGCUCAUAGAGGGGGAUAACAGAGAGAAAUUUCUGCUAAUACCGCAUAAGCACACACUGCCGCAUGGCAGAGGGUGAAAAGAGAAUCGCUAUGAGAUGGACCCGCGUCUGAUUAGCCAGUUGGCAGGGUAAGAGCCUACCAAAGCGACGAUCAGUAGCCGAUCUGAGAGGAUGAACGGCCACAUUGGGACUGAGACACGGCCCAAACUCCUACGGGAGGCAGCAGUGGGGGAUAUUGCACAAUGGGGGGAACCCUGAUGCAGCGACGCCGCGUGAGUGAAGAAGUAUUUCGGUAUGUAAAGCUUUAUCAGCAGGGAAGAUAAUGACAGUACCUGAAUAAGAAGCCCCGGCUAACUACGUG
rnacentral:rRNA from 1 species